rnacentral:rRNA from 1 species
UACGUAGGGUGCAAGCGUUAAUCGGAAUACUGGGCGUAAAGCGUGCGCAGGCGGUUUUGUAAGUCUGUCGUGAAAGCCCCGGGCUCAACCUGGGAAUUGCGAUGGAGACUGCAAGGCUUGAAUCUGGCAGAGGGGGUAGAAUUCCGACGUGUAGCAGUGAAAUGCGUAGAGAUGUGGAGGAACACCGAUGGCGAAGGCAGCCCCCUGGGUCAAGAUUGACGCUCAUGCACGAAAGCGUGGGGAGCAAACAGG